CCCUUAGAUGUUCUGGGCUGCACGCGCGCUACACUGAAACACCCAGCGAGUCUCCUGCCCUGACAGGGUUGGGUAAUCAUUGGAGUGUGUGUCGUGAUGGGGAUAGAGUAUUGCAAUUAUUGCUCUCGAACGAGGAAUUCCUAGUAAGCACAAGUCAGCAGCUUGUGCUGAUUACGUCCCUGCCCUUUGUACACACCGCCCGUCGCUCCUACCGAGGGGGUGAUCCGGUGAAUGAUUCGGACUUUGGCGUUUCUAGCUGCUAGCAGCGCUGAAGAAAGUUUUGUGAACCUUAUCACUUGGAGGAAGGAGAAGUCGUAACA
rnacentral:rRNA from 1 species